rnacentral:rRNA from 1 species
UACGAAGGGGGCUAGCGUUGCUCGGAAUCACUGGGCGUAAAGGGUGCGUAGGCGGGUUGGUAAGUCCGUGGUGAAAUCCCCAAGCUUAACUUGGGAACUGCCGUGGAUACUAUCAAUCUUGAAUAUCGUGGAGGUAAGCGGAAUAUGUCAUGUAGCGGUGAAAUGCUUAGAUAUGACAUAGAACACCAAUUGCGUAGGCAGCUUACUACACGAUCAUUGACGCUGAGGCACGAAAGCGUGGGGAGCAAACAGG